GAUGAACGCUGGCGGCGUGCCUAAUACAUGCAAGUCGAGCGAACAGACGAGGAGCUUGCUCCUCUGACGUUAGCGGCGGACGGGUGAGUAACACGUGGAUAACCUACCUAUAAGACUGGGAUAACUUCGGGAAACCGGAGCUAAUACCGGAUAAUAUAUUGAACCGCAUGGUUCAAUAGUGAAAGACGGCUUUGCUGUCACUUAUAGAUGGAUCUGGGCUGCAUUAGCUGGUUGGUAGGGUAACGGCUUACCAAGGCAACGAGGCGUAGCCGACCUGACGGGGUGAUAGGCCGCACGGGAAGUGAGACGGGGACAAGGCGCCUGCGAGAGGCAGCAGUAGGGAAUGGUCGGCAAUGGGCGAGAGCCUGACGGAGCAACGCCGCGUGAGAGGUGACGGUCUUCGGAUCGUAAAACUCUGUUAUUAGGGAAGAACAGAUGUGUAAGUAGCUAUGCACGUCUUGACGGUACCUAAUCAGAAAGCCACGGCUAACUACGUG
rnacentral:rRNA from 1 species